UACAGAGGUCCCAAGCGUUGUUCGGAUUCACUGGGCGUAAAGGGUGCGUAGGUGGUGAGGUAAGUCGGAUGUGAAAGCUCGGAGCUCAACUCCGAAAUGGCAUUGGAAACUACCUUGCUCGAGGGUUGGAGGGGGGACUGGAAUGCUUGGUGUAGCAGUGAAAUGCGUAGAUAUCAAGCGGAACACCAGUGGCGAAGGCGGGUCUCUGGGCCAUAACUGACGCUGAGGAGCGAAAGCGUGGGGAGCGAACAGG
rnacentral:rRNA from 1 species